rnacentral:rRNA from 1 species
AUGGCUUCCGCCGUCGAUUGCAAGGGCAAGGAAAUCGCGCCGGCCAGCCUCCUCAAGUCCGGUACUCCCGUGGCCUACUGCUCGGUCGACUCCCCCGCCGUCACCACCGCCCGCCGCCCAUACAACACCCAGGCCAAGGAGGUCAGCCACUACGACGACGACGACGACGACUACAACGCCCGCGACCUCGUCACCCCCAGCUUCUUCUCGCAGGACGUGCUCGACCCGCUUGGUGCGUUGACCAGCAUGGCUCGUCUGCUGUCUCUGAUGGAGGACGUCGCAACUGAGACCGGCGGCCUCUCCUCCACUGCUGGGGCUGGGGCGUCGCGGCUCGGACAGUGGGUGGCCAAGGAGGACGACGACGCGGUGUACCUCAAGGUGUCGAUGCCGGGGCUGACCAAGGAGCACGUGGAGGACGGCGACGACGACUCCGCGGUGCCGAGGUACAACCGCCGCAUCCAGGUGCCCGCUGCUGACGCGUACAAGAUGGACAAGAUCAAGGCCGAGAUGAAGAAUGGCCUACUCUGGGUCACCCUGCUCAAGGUCAAGGAGGAGGAGCGCAAGGACGUCUUCCACGUCAAGCGCCGCUCCGGCGCCUUCUCCUCCGAGAUCUGGUUUCACGAGAAACGUCUCAUCCUCGGCACCUUCGACACCCCAGAGGAGGUGGCCCCCGCGCAUGACGCGGUGGCGUAG